AGCUUCAGGAGUAAACUCCGAGGGGAAAAUCCGGAGCUGGAAUCCCAAAGGCAGUCCUAUGUUGAACCCUAUACAGUCCUGUGAUGCUGCUGGUGCCAAACUGUAUCAGAGUCUCUGUUGUUCCUUUCAGUUCAUCAUUUGCGUGGACAGAGGAGCUGACUACAUGGGCCACAGCUUGCUCUCCAUAUUCUACUGCCGAGGCUCAAGUAUCUAGGCAGCAAGGAACAGGCCUUUCCGGAGCAAUGAGCCAUGCUACCUAUUUAAUCUGAGCCUAAUCCAAGGAUAACUUACAAUGACCAAUUAACCUACUAACCCGUCCUUGCACUGUACUGCUGCCACAAAAGAUAACACGGCUCCAUGACAUAGGAAAUUAUCCAUCCAGGACCAUUCUUGACAGAGACCCACACAUUGUUUUGCUUGACAGCCUGAUACCCUCAUUAACUUAACGAAAAAUGUUCACGUGUGUACAUUUCCAGGGAAAUGAGCAAAAGUUUUUAAGUCACAUGGUCUGGUGUAAUUAAAGUGUCAUGGACAGAAAGCAAAAAAUGUUUCCUCAAAGUGUCACAGUUUUGUUCUGGAAUGAAAAGGAAGCAGAAGCAGGAUUUGUAGAACAGGCAGCCAGCUGAAGCAGAUUCAACGGGAGAUUUGAAGAAAUAUUUGGAUAGAUAUGUGGAGGCUUAAAGGGACACAGGCCAAAUGCAGGAUAUUGAGUCUAGCUGCAAGGCCACCAUGGCUGGCAUGUUCUUAAUGGGCCGAAAGGCUGUAGUACUCUGUAACUCUGGUGUAAUUUCAAGUACUACUUGCAUCUUAUUGUGCACUGCAUUUAAAUUAUCAAAGCUUUCUCUCCAUUUCUUUUUAAUGUGUCUUAAUUUUGUUUUAUGUCUACAA